rnacentral:rRNA from 1 species
UACGAAGGGUGCAAACGUUGCUCGGAAUUAUUGGGCGUAAAGCGCACGUAGGCGGCUUAGCAAGUCGGAAGUGAAAUCCCUCGGCUCAACCAAGGAAGUGCUUUCGAAACUGCUGAGCUUGAGUAGUUAAGAGGAUCGCGGAAUUCCCGGUGUAGAGGUGAAAUUCGUAGAUAUCGGGAGGAACACCAGUGGCGAAGGCGGCGAUCUGGGAACAUACUGACGCUGAGGUGCGAAAGCGUGGGGAGCAAACAGG